CACGCAGUUGGGCCAGGCCUAACGAGGACGUCCACCGUCGCCACUCCUUCCCCAACCAUCUCGCGUAGGGUUUCAUCGCUGUUGUGGCCGGCACGGACUCCGCAGCCACACGGCCCCAGGAAUGCCAGACGCCCCCGUUGGCCACCUUGCCGCUCCCAGGGUCGCCCUCGUCGUCUUCCUCGCCCUCGUCGUCUUCCUCGCCCUCGUCGUCGCCCUCGCCCUCGCCAUCCCCAUCGUCGUCAUCGUCCGACUCCGGCCCCUCGUUCUCGUCGGUUUCCAACUUGUCAAGGUACUUGAGUGUCCGGAUCAUGCCCAAGACCCUGGAUCUGUAGUGCCUGGCCCGCAUGACGGGGCACUCGUAGAGUCGUAGAGGUCCAGCGAGAUGAGGCGGAGGCGCGCGAGCGAGCGGCGCCAGAUCGUCCACAUCUUAGAUGCGGAGGUCGAGGUCGCGCAGCCGUUGCCCACCUCGACGAGGUGCUCGACCGUGGGAUCUCGUUCAAGUUCCUCAGGUCAAUUUCCACGGGAUCCCGUUCAAGCGGAAGCACUCUCCUGCGCUCCUCUGCCCCAAAUCUCUAUUAUAUGGAGGCAGCCGUCAGCACCCAUUUCGCCCAAUGAGCUUGGAGCCGUGCACAGCUGCCGUCCUCCAGUUCAGGACUUCUGGUGUGGUGUCGACCUCACAGCACUACCGCUCAUUUGAGUCUGAAUUUCUUUGGUACUGCACUACUACUAUCUCUAAGUUCUGCAUUUGCUAACUGUAUAUGAUUGUCAAAUAGCAGUAUUCUUUGAUGAGAUGCCAAUAUCUGUGAAUUUUUUUGUUCUUCAAUAGAUGGACCAUGUCCGCUCAAAGUCAGAGGUUCAUCACGAGCAUGACAUGUACUGAUUCUUCUUCUCUCUUACCACCUAUGUUCAGUUGACUGCUUAUGUGGAACACACAUGCGCAACUCCAUUGAAAUAACAUAUGACUUCAGAUAUCAUCUUCCGAUUCUGUUCGAUUGAAACUGUUACUAUCAUUCAAUGGUUACAUUUAGAAUUACAAGUGCAUUUUCUUGAUCUUCUGUCACCUAGAUUUACUUAUGUUUAUAAGAUUUCAGAUUCAUGUUGUGAGGUCAACUUUUGCUAUUUUUAGUUGUUCUAUACCCUCCAGUUAAUGCAAACAAGCAAACUACUCCUUCGGAUACUACUAAACUGCUACUAUGUCUUGAAAUUGAAGAGGAUUUUGGGCACGCAAGAGUUAAAACAAAUCAGGCAACAAAAGCUAAUUCAAGAAGCCAUUGACAGUGCGGCCCGUUGUGGUGCCCGGCGAUCUUCUCACCGUCGCGAUCGCCACGGCCGCUGCCGCACCAACAUCACUACUCCCGGCCAUCUCCCCUUGGCUGAGGUCUUCAACGAUGCUAAGCCUAGGCAGCAGUCCUGGUUCAUCGGCUGGAGGACUGCCUCCACAGACUCGUGGUCCAAAGCCACAGGGUGGCCUCACAGCGCGCGGAUGGAAAUUCCCAGUUGAAGACAAGACCAAAUAGCAGGCAUACAUAUGAAAGGUGUGUCACUGAAGGAGUAAUACAUGUUUGGUUAUGAUCGUUGAUGAGAGCAGUAGCAUCAGCCCUACACAUAAAUCAAAAUUUCUAUAAUUUCAAAGGCUUGAACGAUAAACACCGUGAAAAGUUCCAAAGCAUGCACAACGGUGUAUUCAUAUGUCUAAGAAAAUUGAAACACAUGGUUCAAGUAAAAGCAAGUUGGGACUUUACCAACCGGUAUGAGUUUUAAAUUAGAAGUAACCUGAACAACCAAGAGAAACUGACCCAGAUCUUUUUUAUCACUCUGAAUGUAAUGACCCAAAAUUUAGUUAGGAACACUAAUAAAAGGAGGACGCAGGUCUUGUGAAGGCAAAUGCAUCUCUCCGACUUCAAUACUAUGGUGCAUAAAAAAGCACUUGCAAACCAUACAAAAAUCAUCCUGAAUAUGGAAAUUACCAUGCCUUGCAUUGAAACUCCUUAAGACUUCAAGCACUACAUUCCUGGGCAGGUACGGAGUUUCUUCCGAGCUGUACAAUUCCAUGCCAAUAAAAUUCCCAUCACAAUCAAUAAGUGGCCCUCCGAUCCCAGCCUAGCACAAAACAAAAGUAGUACGUAAACAAAGAUGAUAUUUGCAAACCUUUGCAGACAUAAAGAAAGAUUGUUAUUCGUGAACCUUAAUUAAUUAGUGGAUUAAAAAUAUGCAAAUUAGUGCAUGUAGCAUACCUUUGUCAUUUUAAAAGUGGACAUCUUAAGUUCUUUGCAGAUUAGACACGUGAUAAGGUGGUUUGAGUCAGUAUUUUUCAAUUUUUCCAUGGAUCUUCCAAAAUGAUAGUUAAUCACAUGGUGUCUCCUUUUAUAGACUACUUUCAGUAAAGGGUAAUGUUUGGUGGUUGAACAACUGCUUCUCUAUUUGUCGGGAACCCUCAGAUGAUUACAAGUUGCUCUUGGAUUCUUAUAGAUUGUAAUUCAUAGAGGAACGAAUUUAAAUAUGCUACACGUUGUAGAACACUUAUGUGAAUGAAUUACUUAUUUGGUUCUUUAAAUUGAGGACAGAUCUUGCUGUUUUUACUUCCAGAAAAAAGAAAAUUUUAGUUUCUCUGUAAGACAAAGUUUACAUUGAAACGAAAAAACAUAUAGACUGGAGUUGGAAAGACUUAUAGCAUGCAUGUAAAUCGAACAUCCUUGGGCUUACAUUAUGUGAUGAUUACUAAAUUUACCGCUUUGGUCUUAUGUAUUGAUUACUAAAGUUUACUUUGGAUGUUGACCGGGGCGAAACAUUUUGCAUUGCAAUGACCUGAAAACUUGUCUGCUUCAGCGAGUUGUAAAUGGUAUUUUUAAAUGUUCAAGAACAUUACAGAUUGCUACAUUCUUAAUGGUAAAAAUACUUUUAUGCUAAUUUUAGAUUCACUUUCAUUGACCUUCACUUGCAUUGAUUUACUAUU